UACGUAGGGUGCAAGCGUUAAUCGGAAUUACUGGGCGUAAAGCGUGCGCAGGCGGUUAUGUAAGACAGGUGUGAAAUCCCCGGGCUUAACCUGGGAACUGCAUUUGUGACUGCAUAGCUAGAGUACGGUAGAGGGGGAUGGAAUUCCGCGUGUAGCAGUGAAAUGCGUAGAUAUGCGGAGGAACACCAGUGGCGAAGGCGAGUCCCUGGACAACACCUGACACUGAGGCACGAAAGCUAGGGGAGCAAACAGG
rnacentral:rRNA from 1 species